CCUACGGGUGGCAGCAGUGGGGGAUAUUGCACAAUGGGGGCAACCCUGAUGCAGCGACGCCGCGUGAGCGAAGGAGUACUUCGGUAUGUAAAGCUCUGUCAGCAGGGAAGAGAAUGACGGUACCUGACCAAGAAGCCCCGGCUAAAUACGUGCCAGCAGCCGCGGUAAUACGUAUGGGGCGAGCGUUGUCCGGAUUUAAUAGGGGGAAAGGGAGCGGAGGCGGCAGGGCAAGCCUGCUGUGAAAGCCCGGGGCGCAACCCCGGGACUGCAUUGGGAACUGCCCUGCUCGGGUGGCGGAGGGGCAGGGGGAAUUCCUAGGGGAGCGGGGAAAUGCGUAGAGAAUAGGAGGAACACCAGUGGCGAAGGCGGCCUGCUGGACGGUGUACUGACGCUGAGGCUCGAAAGUGUGGGGAGCAAACAGGAUUAGAUACCCUAGUAGUC
rnacentral:rRNA from 1 species